CCUACGGGGUGCAGCAGUGAGGAAUAUUGGUCAAUGGACGCAAGUCUGAACCAGCCAUGCCGCGUGCAGGAAGACGGCUCUAUGAGUUGUAAACUGCUUUUGUACGAGGGUAAAUCCCGAUACGUGUAUCGGGUUGAAAGGAUCGUACGAAUAAGGAUCGGCUAACUCCGUGCCAGCAGCCGCGGUAAUACGGAGGAUUCAAGCGUUAUCCGGACUUAUUGGGUUUAAAGGGUGCGUAGGCGGUUCGAUAAGUUCGAGGUGAAAUCCCGGGGCUCAACUCCGGCACUGGCCCUGAUACUGGCGGGCUAGAGUUUAGUUGCGGUAGGCGGAAUGUAUGGUGUAGCGGUGAAA
rnacentral:rRNA from 1 species